GCCAGGCGUGGUGGCGGCGCCUGUAAUCCCAGCUACUCGGGAGGCUGAGGCAGGAGAAUUGCUCGAACCCGGGAGGUGGAGGUUGCAGUGAGCCAAGAUUGCACCACUGCACUCCAGCCUGGGUGACAGAGCGAGACUCUGUCUCAA
rnacentral:SRP_RNA from 1 species